GACGAACGCUGGCGGCGUGCCUAAUACAUGCAAGUUGAGCGCUGAAGGUUGGUACUUGUACCAACUGGAUGAGCAGCGAACGGGUGAGUAACGCGUGGGGAAUCUGCCUUUGAGCGGGGGACAACAUUUGGAAACGAAUGCUAAUACCGCAUAAAAACUUUAAACACAAGUUUUAAGUUUGAAAGAUGCAAUUGCAUCACUCAAAGAUGAUCCCGCGUUGUAUUAGCUAGUUGGUGAGGUAAAGGCUCACCAAGGCGAUGAUACAUAGCCGACCUGAGAGGGUGAUCGGCCACAUUGGGACUGAGACACGGCCCAAACGCCUACGGGAGGCAGCAGUAGGGAAUCUUCGGCAAUGGACGAAAGUCUGACCGAGCAACGCCGCGGGAGUGAAGAAGGUUUUCGGAUCGUAAAACUCUGUUGGUAGAGAAGAACGAUGGUGAGAGUGGAAAGCUCAUCAAGUGACGGUAACUACACAGAAAGGGACGGCUAACUACGUG
rnacentral:rRNA from 1 species